GUGUUUUCUUACUUUGGUUCCUCUGCUUGCUUCGAUCGUUUGUUCUUCAGUGGUCGAAACUCAUCUUGCGUCGGUGUUCAGCUGCUCGAAUAACAAGGAAUUGGAUUGCGCUCUAUUUGAGACGACCUCCGUAAUUCGAUCUAUAGUGCGAUUCCUGAAUUCACGAAGUUUGGAACCAGACGGAAACGGAAGGAAAGGAGUAGUGUUUAGAGGAGCAGCUUUGAGGUCUCUAUGAGGUACUCCUAGGGUACCAUUUCAUUGGUUUUCAAAACUGAAGCAGGCUUGGAGCUUUUGGAAUUAGCUUUGGAGUGUUGGAUCUAAGGGUUGACUUUGGGCUUACUCUUUCAUCAAGCCACAAGCUCAUCUCCAAUUCUUACUUUGAUAACCAUUUAUAACGUCCAGAGUUUUAAAAACUUGGAGAAUUGAGAGAAGGAGAGAGAUUGUCAACAUCAGAUGGAAACUGAGAGAAGGCAAGAGACAGAGUGGAGAGGGCAUCGAUGACGAAUUGAGAGUUGGAGGAUUGAGAGACAACAUAGAAAUAGACCAAUUAUCAAGAAGUUGAGUGUGAGAGACAUAGUGGUGACAGCGACCGGUGAGCAAUUAGGAAAAAUAAGAAAAUAUAAUAUAAAAAAUAAGAAACAUAUAAAAAUUGUUUUGCUUUUAAAAAUAGCUUUCUAUUUUUUUUAAAACACUUAAUUGAAAAUUUAUUGUUAAGCAAUUGUUUUUAAGACAAGAAAUCAAAUAAGGCCUUGCAUUUUUAAAUAAGUACAAGUAUUAUCUUAUUAGAAGCAAUUCUGUUCAAAAAUAGAGAUUCAUUAUUUGGUCGUUAGGCCCAAUAAUUCUAGUAGUCAUUUAUUUGAUACCCCCCAAGGAGCAGGAACUGCCAUUCUAACACUUCUCGGGGGAUUCCAUCCGCAAACGCAAAGUUUAUGGCUGACUGAUAUUGCUCAUCAUCAUUUAGCUAUUGCAUUUAUUUUUCUCGUUGCCGGUUAUAUGUAUAGAACUAAUUUCGGGAUUGGACACAGUAUGGCCUAACAUAUCUAGCAUAAUUUUUAGACCUUAAUCAAGGUUUAACCCAAAGUACCCAUUUUGUUUCUAAAUUUUUUAGAAUUUUUAGAAAUAAUUUCUUGUCCAGUUAUAAUGACUCUUAACUAUUAAAAAAGAAAGAACCCAAAAAAGACUUUGAAGCAACAUAUAGACCGGAUUAGAGUUAGGAUGUAGCUUCCUCCCUAUAGAAGAGGACCCAAAUGAGGACUCAGAGUCACAAUAGCUUAUGGUAAUCAAGUAUCAGUUGAUAAGUAUGGUGGAUAUUUCCCAGGAUUUGUAGAAUGUAGGAUUUGAGGAUUAUCUUCAAGAGAGAAGGAUCAGGAAUGAUUAGAGGAAGACUAUAUUGUACUAGUAUUGUA